UACGUAGGGGGCGAGCGUUGUCCGGAUUUACUGGGCGUAAAGAGCGCGCAGGCGGUCGUUCAAGUCGCGUGUGAAAGCCCCCCGGCUCAACUGGGGAGGGUCACGCGAUACUGAUCGACUCGAAGGCAGGAGAGGGAAGUGGAAUUCCCGGUGUAGUGGUGAAAUGCGUAGAUAUCGGGAGGAACACCAGUGGCGAAGGCGACUUCCUGGCCUGUUCUUGACGCUGAGGCGCGAAAGCUAGGGGAGCAAACGGG
rnacentral:rRNA from 1 species